rnacentral:lncRNA from 1 species
AGCGCGGUUGGAACAAAGCCGGGGAAGAAGGGGGAUCAACCUGCUUGCUGCAUCUUCUGGAUUGCUGUCUUCCCGAGCUGGACGCUUGCUUGCUCUCCUCCUGCCCGUGGACAUCUAGACUCCAGGUUCUUCGGCCUUUAGACUCUGGGACUGCACCUGUGGCUUGCCGAGUGCAUAUGAACUGGGACCAUGUGGGAAAAUGUAAUUUACCAAACCACACAGAGGAGAAAGUCUCUUCCAGGGGACACAGCUGAUGCGGGAAUAAAGACACAGAAGGCCAAGCUUACUCCUUGGGAGAGGUGACAAAGGCAAACCCAAAGUCAGUUCCACUGAAAUCUUCAAUGCCUUCUCUUUGUCAUCAUCAUUGCUAACAAUUAACAAGCUUGUACCAGGUGCCGGGCAUGGUUGGAAAGGUUUUGGAUAUAUUGCCAAUCAACCCUCAUAACAGACCUUUGAAAUAGAUAGUAUUAUUUUUCCUGUUUUACUGAUGAAGAAGCCAAGGAAUAGAGAAACUUGUUCAAGAUCACACAGUUAGUAAGGGGUGGAGCUGGAUUCAGACCCCAGGCAACCUCACUUGUUAGAAUACAAUGCUCAGUGCUACAUGCCUCUGAGAAAGCAACAUAGAAUAUUGGAAUUUUGGAAUUAGAGAAGACCACAAAAGUUUUGGUUUUUUGGGGGUUUUUUUGAGACAGAGUCUCUCUCUGCCGCCCAGGCUGGAGUGCAAUGGCGUGAUCUCGGCUCACUGCAACCUCCACCUCCUGGGUUCGAGCAAUUCUCCUGCCUCAGCCUCCUGGGUAGCUGGGAUUACAGGAAUCCAACACCACACCUGGCUAAUUUUUUGUAUUUUUAGUAGAGACAGGGUUUUGCCAUGUUGGCCAGGCUGGUCUCGAACUCCUGACCUCAGGUGAUCCACCUUCCUUGGCCUCCCAAAGUGCUGGGAUUACAGGUGUGAGGCACUGCACCCGGCCAUUGUUUUAAGCAAAGAAAUUUUUUUCACAUCAUACUGUGUAAUUCCAACGUCUAAAACUUUUUUAAAGGAGGAUUUACUUCCAGUCUAGCUUAGGUAGAGACUGUGCUUCUCCCUCGUUUCCUAUUGAGGUCACUGUGGUGCCUUUGUUUUGUGCAACUCUUCUGGGAAACUAUUGUCCCACUCCAAUCACUUCUACUUAGAGAUGAGAAACCUGGGCCCAGAGCUUUAAAAGAACCUCCCCAGGGCACCCAUUUAGUAUGUGCAUAAGCCAGUGCUUUUCUAAUACUACCUCAUAGUACACAUAUAUAUUAUUCAGAACUCCUUUUGUUGUAAGAAACAGAAACCCAACUCAAAUUUGCUUAGACAGAAAAAGGAAUUUAUUAGUUCAAAUAACUAGGCAGUUCAAGGACAAUCUGGGUCAGAUAUAACUAGCUCCAUGAGCCCAAUAUUAACAGAAGAGGUUCUGUUCUUCCUACCAUUUGUUAGCUCUGCCUCCCUAUGAACUGACUUCAUUCUCAGAUGGGUUCUCAGCACCAUACACCUAUACCAGAACAGCUCUAGAUGUGCAGGAUCCCUGAAUGGGGAACUGAAUAGUCACUAUCAUCUGUGUAUUCUUCUUGUAAGGAAGAUUUGGUUGGCUUUUAUUUUUGUUGAUGGUAUGACUAAGUUAGGUCACCUGCUCCCUUGCCCCAAUUUAAAAAAAAAUAAAAGAAAUGAACACGUAGUGGUCCAUAACAUGGACCACUAUCCUUGGCACGUCUGAUAAAAGUGAAUUCCUGGAAUCCAGGCAAUCUGUUCCACUGAUCUUUUUUCCCACCUAUAUCACACCAUCUUGAUUACAGUAGUUUUACCAAACUCAGGUAGAGAAACUCUUCUAGAUGUUGUUGUUCCUGCUCUCCUUCUCCUUUUCUUUUUCUUCUUCCUUCUUCACCUUCUUCUAUUAGAUUUAUUGAUGUAUAAUUUACAUAUAAUAAAAUUCAUCAAUUUUAAGUGUGAAAUUUGACAAGUGCUUAUAAAUAAUAAAGUCUCAUAAUCAUCACAGUCAUGGUAUAGAACAGUUUCAAAACUCCGAAAACUUUCCUUGUGCUUCUUUGCAAUUGAUGCCCUGUUAUCACCUUCUAGGCCCUAGCGUCUACCUUCUUUCAUGUAAUUAGAGUCAGUAUGUUGCCUGUUGUGUCUGGUUUCUUUCACUUAACAUAAUGCUUUCAGAUUCAUUUCUCUUUUUGCAUUUAUCAGUUUGUUCCUUUCUAAUUUUUAGUGGUACUACCUUAUAUGAAUAUGCCAACAUUCGUUUAUUCAUUCACAAGUUCAUGUACAUUUGCAUUUUUUCUAGUUUUUUGCUAUUGCAAAUAAAGCUUCUAUGAACAUCUGUG